AAGUCGUAACAAGGUUUCCGUAGGUGAACCUGCGGAAGGAUCAUUACUGAAUUGUCAACACGAGUUGUUGCUGGUCCCCAAAUGGGGGCACGUGCACGCUCUGUUCGCACAUCCAUUCACACCUGUGCACCCCAUGUAGUUCUAUGGUUUGGGGGACUCUCCCUCUUCUGUGGUUCUAUAUCUUUACACACACUCUGUAAUAAAGUCUUAUGGAAUGUAUGCAGCGUUUAACGCAAUACAAUACAACUUUCAGCAACGGAUCUCUUGGCUCUCGCAUCGAUGAAGAACGCAGCGAAAUGCGAUAAGUAAUGUGAAUUGCAGAAUUCAGUGAAUCAUCGAAUCUUUGAACGCACCUUGCGCCCUUUGGCUAUUCCGAAGGGCAUGCCUGUUUGAGUAUCAUGAACACCUCAACUCUCAUGGUUUGCCAUGAUGAGCUUGGACUUUGGAGGUCUUGCUGGCCAGCGGUCGGCUCCUCUCAAAUGAAUCAGCUUGCCAGUGUUUGGCGGCGCCACAGGUGUGAUAACUAUCUACGCUUGUGGUUUCCCGCCAGGUUUCCUUCAGUGAUGGAGGUUCGCUGGAGCUCAUAAAUGUCCCUCCCCAGUGAGGACAACUUCAUGAAUGUUUGAUCUCAAAUCAGGUAGGACUACCCGCUGAACUUAA
rnacentral:rRNA from 1 species